UAUAUAAGGCUUUAUCUUAUUAGUUACGGCAGUCUUUUUCUUUUCAGGAAAGGUAAUUUUACAUUCUACACUGAAGAUGUAACAGUUAUGGAAUCUUUUGCACCAUCUGGCCUGAAUUAGGUGUUUCUCGAAUCUCUCAUGCUUGAUUACCUGCUCAUAUUUAAAAGUGGAGGCUUCAAGAGCUGCCUGGAAACUGAGUAAGUAGGUGAGGCUUGAUCAUGGUGAGAUUUCCUGUAGGGUGAGCUGCCUGGGCCUUUGGUUGGGGAAGCCCUGAUGUCAACAUCCAUGUGAGUGUAUUUGGAUCUUUCUUCUUGGGUCUGAUAGAUUCCCACCUACAAAAGACUUAUUUGGUGUUCUGCCUGGAAGUAAAUAACUGCUGCCGUCAUUCUGAGAUGAGGAGGAAGUUUUGCAUUUAGUAGGCAUACAUCAUUUACUUAACCCUCCUGUUUUUUGUUUGUUAAAACACACCCUCUGUUUUACCCUCUUCAAAGAGGAAGACUGUCUUCUGCUGGGGUGAGGGAAGGAAAUCACCCAGCAUUUGGAGGAAGAGAGGGGCAUCUAGGGAUAUAACUGCUUCUCCAACAGCUUUCAACCAACCUUCUUUCAUCUUUCACAGCCCUGCCCCUCUUUUCUAGGAGUAGUUGUGCCUUCAAUGCCUGAGCCUUGAUUAUUUGGUGGUUUAAAUUGACUUGGUUCUUGGAACCAAGGAGGAAAAAGAGUUCAAUUUUUCAUCAGUUUUACCAAGUCCAUACCACCUGUUAUCUGUUUUGUAGCUUUCAAAAAGUUGGUGCUAUUUCUUCUCAUGUUCACUGUAUCCUUAUAGGUUUAUGCUUAAGAAACAAAAACAAAAACAAAACAAAACAAAACAAAAAACCCUUUACCAUACCAUAGUUUCAGUGCAGUUUAGGAGAGAGUGAAAGUGUGUGUUCAAUUAGCCAUCUUUUUGCAAUUCUGCUUUUUUUAUGGUAUAUUUUAUAGUGUUUAGAGAUUUUUUUGCAGCUGCCUUCUUUUGGAAAAACCAAAGGCAGCAGACUCUGGGCAUGCUGAACUGGGGCUACUUGCUCCAUUUCAAUUCUUAAAUUUAGAACUAUGCCUCUGCUUCCCUCACAGACAGUCCAAUUAAAAAUAAAAACUCUCCAAAUCAAGAAUCAAGAACAGUUAUGGGACUCUGAUUGCAGAAAGCAUUUUCAAAAGCAUUUAGCAUUCAAAUAACUUACCCACUGAGAUAGACAGAACAAUGGUCUCCCAAGGAUGUUCACAUUCUAAUCCCCAGAAUCUGUAGGUCAAAUUACAUGUCAAAGGGGAAUCAAAGUAGCAGAUGGAAUUAAGGUAGCUAAUCAGCUGACUUUAAAAUAGGGAGAUUAUCCUGGGUCAUCUGCUUGGCCUAAUGUAGUCACAAGGAUCCUUAAUUGUGGACGAGGGAGACAGAAGAGUUAUUGUCAAAGUUAUAUGAUGUCAGAAAGACUUGACCAUCUCUUCCUGGCUUUAAAGAUGGAAGGAGAACAUGAGCCAAAGAAUGCGGUUAGCCUCUAGACACUGGAGCAGGAAAGGACACAGAUUCUCCCCUAGAAGCUCCUGAAGGGAACCAGCUCUGCUAACAGCUUUUUUUGGGGCGGAGGGGGGAUCAAUUUUUAUUUGGGCUCCUCACAGUGGUUAUAGUCACUCUUCCGAACAAUCUCAGCACAGGAAAUGCAUCACCAAGACUGCCUAGAAAAGUCUGACCAGUAGCACCUUACUGCUUAAAAUACACAUAUUCACAAUAACUGACAAAGGAUAAUGUGCCUCACACAGGAAUGUGUUCGCAUUUGCAAAUCUCUCAACUGGCUGUAGCAUCAAACCCUCCACUAACCCCUUCCAUCUCAUUCAGCUGGAAAACCAGUCUCAAUCACAUCUCCCGGCCCCGGAACCAAUUCCUUAUUAAAUCUCUCCCUGAGCGGGGUAGCCUCCUGUAGCGGGGGCCAGACUGCGACUUGAGAAUCAAGGCCAGCUCCACAGGUUGCAUUUCCAUCUUCUUGUGCCUUUAGGGUAGGACACUGCAAUGAAUCACACAGUUAGCACUCCACCACUUCCCCACUCUAACUGGGGAAAGGAACUUGAGAGAGUCAGAAUUCAUCCAUUUGAUCUGUUCACUGAAAAAGGAUUCAUUUUGGUAGAACUUGUUUGCCUUUGAGACACUUCAGUGAGUUAUUUGGGAUUCUU
rnacentral:lncRNA from 1 species